AUUUCAGGUUCAUACAGCAGAGCAGACUUGAAAUGUCCCCAGAUCCACAGCAAGAGCUGAUGGUGACAACAGAAACUGUUAUGCUGGAGCGUCACUUCUACUUGUUUGUGCAGAGCAAGGGGUGGGUCUACUCACAGAAUCUAUGCAACAGCACUUAUCUUAUGAAAGCUGAGAUGACAAAAAGCAAUGACCAGUGUGAUUUAUACCAGUGGAAACAGUUACCUAACACUAGCUGGAGUUUCCAUUUACUCACCCUUCCUGGAAGCAAUACCCUUUUAAUCACCAAGUGUGUGCCAAAGCAGAGAAAGAGAGAAGCCAAAACCUUUUGGAAGAUGUGCAGAAUAGAUGUGCAAAAUUCCUUGCAGUUGCUUUCUGUGUCAGCAUUUUCAUAGCUCUCAACAUUUUGUUAUAUUCCUGUAUUACUAAGAUAAAUGAAACAUAAGCUGCAAGUGUAAGCUUAAGACUGUACAAAGAAAUAUGAUAAAUUUAUAUAUAUCUUUUGUAAGAUUGGGAGUAUGACACAAGGAUUGGCAUGUGAUUGAAUCGGUCUUGCCAGUGUAUUUUAUUUGCAAUGUCCAACUCACUAAGGACAUGAAAAAUAUUGCAAAUUUAGGAAUGGAAAGAAAGAUGGGCAAGUGUUAUUUUAGUAAAUUAUUUAAAGGAAGCUUAGGAAGAUUUUAGAAAUCUGGAGCAAGAGACUAUAUCAACAAAUGGAGGAACAUGGUGAAUUAUGGAUGUAAACUUGUGACUACCUGUAGUGUUUGAUUAUAAGUACCACAGCAGGAAAGAUUGAUAAGCAUCCUCUUGCAAGCUCAGAGAAGUAUCUGAAAGUGUAUUGAUCAAUGCUGAACUCUUUACUGAGUUGUUGGUAAAUGGCUCCCUUAUCUCAUACUAAUCACAGGCUAUACUGAGGGAAUAAAAAGAGGACAAGGAACAAAACUCCAGAGCUUUCCAAAGGAGAAGUUCUGUUAUGAUGCAGGGAAUGUUAGCUCUAUGUUUGCAUAAAAACAUGAAAAGAAAUAUUUGCUUUUUAAAAUAAUAUCUGUUAUAUCAUCUGAGCAAAAACCCCACAAAGAUGGAUGACAGUAACACUCAACAUGGUUCUGCACUAAUAGCUAAAAACUAAUAACACUAUAAUCUGUGGUCCAGUGUUUUUUA